ACAAAACUCGGUUCUUGCUGGAAAUCCCUCCCUGGGCUACAUGAGCAGGUGCUGGAAAAAGUCUGCAGUGUGUUUGGUUUCCAUCCGUGUUAAUGAACUUCCAGAUGAUGCUCAUGGAGAAAAGUGAAACGUGCACAGACCUCUUUUCAGUCUGGAAAUUUGACGAGACUUGAGAUUCUGGUCUUACUGACCUUGCACUCAGACUGAUUGACCAGUAUCAUCCUCACAAAGAAAUGAUGAUUUCAAGACCCUUUUUUUCCAGCUACUGAGCUCAGAGUCAGUCAAAAGCUCCUGAAAGGUGUGGAGUGUGUCUCUCAGAGUCCAAAGCCUUUGGUUACCUUUCACAAAGUGACCCAGAGCCCAUGCUGGGAUGGUUAUUGCCCAAAACAAAACCAGUGCAGGUUGUGGGAGCACCCAGUUGUUGCUGACUGCUCAGUGUUGGGAUCUGG